GGGCGCUGUCGCUCGGAAGGAGCUUUUAAAGCCUGAAGUCGGUGCAGCUUGGCGCCUGUGGUCUGGAAUUGGCUGCUGGCGCCGAAGGGGCGGUGGUGCGGGGAGAAGGGAGGGAAAGCGUGCAAGGGUAGGAGGCUGGCCCGCGUCCGUCCCCGAGCGAGCGUCUCCGCGGCGACGCCGUCCCCAGCGACGGGCGCGCCUCCGCGGGAGCUUCACCUGUCGCGCGCUCGGACGCGGCGGCCUUCCAGCUAGGAGGUGCGGACCACCUGGGUCUGUGCUAGGUGUUGAUGGCCCGCGUUCUCUAGAGGGCUGUGACUCCGGAGAGCAACCAGGGUCCCCACUCCCCCAUCCACAAACACACCCCCCAAAGGUCUCCAGAAAUAGGCUUCCUCCGGUGAGAAAGAAGUCUCCUAAUAGCUAUUUUUAGCUUCUUAAGGUGAUUCUCCAACGUUGCUACAUACCUGGAAGCCAAUCAAAUGAUCUUUUUCUAAACAGAGAUGCCAAGGCCACACCCCAGAGCAGAAUCAGGAAGUUGGAGAGCAGAUGAAUGUUGAGAAGUCCUUGUGGCUGAUGUGCCAGUUUAGGAGACCACGUUUCUAACCAAUAUUAUAUAUCCCCAGAGUCUCGCUCAGCGUCUCCGGGGAGCAGACCUGCUGGAAAGGAUUAGGAGGUGUGACCUUGUUGGAGGAAGAAGCAUGGCGCUGGGGUUUGCAAAGAAUACUUCCAGACUGCAGGCUCAGGAGACACAAGGGACCCCCACAUCCUGCUGUCGAAGACCUUCAAGCAGCACUGCUCCCUCAAAUAAAGGGUAGACAACGUCCAGCUCAUCAGAGAGACACCAAUAUCUGGUGACAUGAGAACAAGACAAGGGUGAGAAACAGCGGCCUGUCCUGGAUGAAACCCUGUUCUGGCACCUGACAUGUCAACGUGAGCAAGUCCAUCAAAAUAAGCAAAAGGUGCUGACACUUAGCUCGCUAGCCAAGCCUUGUCCUCCUAGUGAACAGGCACAGCAUGAUGGCGCUGUCCACACCUUCUCCAAGGUGAGAAGGAUGAAGGUGAGUCCAUGUACAUGACAUAUCCCUCCAGGAGAAGUUUGGAAUGAAAUAGCCCAGCUGAGACUAGAAUAAUGUCUACAAUUGUUGGUUUUUGUGAGAGCCAAAGUUAGGCUUUAUGUUUUAAUUACUGUGUCUAAGAGAUCCAUGAAACAAAAAUGCUUCCAACUUGUAAGCCCCUUGCCCAGGGACAGAUAACUUCCUGAAAUGCUGGAGGCUAUUGUUUGGUUUCACUCCCCUGAACAAGUCUGUUUGACCCAACAGCACUGGAUUUGUUCAUCACAUGGAGGCAGGCCAUAUGUAGGUAGGAAAUACAUCAGGAUGUAUGCUUACCCUAAUGAGAUGUAGGCAGGAAGUAUGCAGGCAGGAAGUUCCUCAGGAUAUAUGCUUGCCCCUGAUUGGAUCUGAUGGGAAAUAUGGUGGCCUUUAUAAGCCCUAGCAAAAUGUGACUUGUUGCCAUUUUCUGGGAACCCAGGAACUGACCUAGCCAAUAUUUAAU